GCCUCGUUGAUUGAAAACAUAAAUUACAAUUUAUGGCAUAAUAGACUGCCAUACCAAAACAGAAUUUAACACCUUACUCAUAACUAUUUCAGAUAGUUCAAUGUUGUUUGUUUGUUUGCUGGAUUUUAAUUUGAAUUGAGGGGGCUCAUUUUACUUCUUUUUCUCACAGAGACACCGUCUAUUUCUUGGGGUAAUCAUGCCUGUGUUAAAAGAGCCCUGCAUCUUCGGUGGCUAUCAGAGUCUGAAAAAUUGGAAUCCUGCAAAACAGUCCCACAAUUUUGUAAAACACAGGAACAUUCGAAAUGUAAUUGGAAGUGCUUUCUGACAACAACAUCUGCUCUCCUCACCACGCACAGGCUUUUCUUUUAGAGCACUGUUUUGAGGGUGCAGAACGUUUAGCCCCCUGCAAGAAGUCAUCAAUCUUUUCUGGAUCCCAGUUUUAAGAAACCAAGGACAUCAUGCUGGUUAUUGGAACAAUGUAUUCUCUUCCAACUCUACAAUAACAUCACCAAACAGCAUAGCAACGGUACCCAGCACCCUGUGCCAAGACUCCUCUCCGUGCUUGUGUGUAUUCCCUUACAUGGACCCCUGAGUUCACACUGCUGCCUUUACUCUGCACAGAAGGGGAAAAGAGGCACCCCACAGUGCGACAUCUAGUGGCAGGUGGAGAAGGGACAGCAGCAAAGCAGGUGGGCCUCCUGGCCCUGUACUCAGAGUUGUCCUGCUUAUAAAGUGAUUACGAGAAUUGACUUUUGAAAUUCUGGUUUCAUUUUACCGAUAACAAUAUAAGGUGUCUUUAUAUUUUCUUAGAUGUUAUACUGGCA
rnacentral:lncRNA from 1 species